AUGAAGGCAGCAUUAAAAACUAUCCUCCCACAAACUCUGCAUAAGCUGUGUCGGUGGCAUAUCAUGAAGAAGUACAAAGACCACUUCGCCUUGCUGUAUAAGGUGCACGAGAAAUUAAAGGAUGAACUCAAUGCGGUGCUGAACCACCCACUAAUGCCGUCAGAAUUUGAACAAGCAUGGAAGAACCUCAUUCGGAGGUACAACUUGCAAGACGAUGAAGUGAUGAAUUCGCCGUGGGAUGACAGGAACGAGUGGACCUCGGCUUACGACAAGGAAAUUUUCUGUGCUCGGAUGACUUCCACACAGAGAAGCGAGAGCAUGAACCGCAUACUGAAGAAAUUUUUUGUCAAGGAGAAGCAUGAUCUCCAUCUGUUUGCUCAGCAGGUGGAUAAGUGCAUUCAGACCAGGAAGGUCGUCGAGCACGCAGAGACAAUAGCAAAUGAAUCAGAGGUAAAAACAAAAACCAAGUUUGGGUUCGAAGUUCAGCUAUCAAAAGUGUAUACAAGGGCAGUGUUUGCAGAUUUCAAAGAAACACUCUACCAUAGCACUGCUUUUAGAGCAGAACGGUGCCCUGAGAACCCGACAAAGUAUCUCGUACACCACUACAACAGAUCGGAUGCAUUUGACUGGGCAAGGCAUAAUUUCCAAGUGGUCGCCGAUGAAGAGAAAGGUGUCUACGAAUGUGAGUGCAAACUCUGGACACACACAGGGCUCUUUUGCAUCCAUGUGUUAUACAUGCUUUCUCAUCUGAGAGGACUCAAGAUUCCUGAGGUGUACAUCAUGAAAAGAUACACCCAUAAUGCAAGAUCAGAUGCAACGUUUGACAGAAGAGACUACGAACAAAUAGCACCAGAUGGAACCUUGCUUUUUUGCCGUAGAAAAUUGCUGACAGAAACAAUAAUGGACCUUGCAAACAGAGCGACAAGGUCCGACGCUGGGUGCCACAGAGCAUUGUCUGGUAUGAGGGCACUGAUUGAGGAAGUUGACGUGCUCAUCAAAGAAGAAGAAGAAGCAGCAAAACUAAAGCAAGCAGAGAAAUCCUAG
rnacentral:rRNA from 1 species